rnacentral:rRNA from 1 species
GGAGGAAAAGAAACUAACAAGGAUUCCCCUAGUAGCGGCGAGCGAAGCGGGAAGAGCUCAAAUUUAUAAUCUGGCACCUUCGGUGUCCGAGUUGUAAUCUCUAGAAGUGUUUUCCGCGUUGGACCGCACACAAGUCUGUUGGAAUACAGCGGCAUAGUGGUGAGACCCCCGUAUAUGGUGCGGACGCCCAACGCUUUGUGAUACACUUUCGAAGAGUCGAGUUGUUUGGGAAUGCAGCUCAAAUUGGGUGGUAAAUUCCAUCUAAAGCUAAAUAUUGGCGAGAGACCGAUAGCGAACAAGUACCGUGAGGGAAAGAUGAAAAGCACUUUGGAAAGAGAGUUAACAGUACGUGAAAUUGUUGGAAGGGAAACGCUUGAAGUCAGACUUGCUUGCCGAGCAAUCGGUUUGCAGGCCAGCAUCAGUUUUCCGGGGUGGAUAAUGGUAGAGAGAAGGUAGCAGUUUCGGCUGUGUUAUAGCUCUUUGCUGGAUACACCUUGGGGGACUGAGGAACGCAGUGUGCCUUACGGCGGAUUUCUCGAGAUCUUCACACUUAGGAUGCUGGUGGAAUGGCUUUAAACGACCCGUCUUG